AACGAACGCUGGCGGCAUGCCUAACACAUGCAAGUCGAACGAGACCUUCGGGUCUAGUGGCGCACGGGUGCGUAACGCGUGGGAACCUGCCCUUAGGUUCGGAAUAACUCCCCGAAAGGGGUGCUAAUACCGGAUAAUGUCUUCGGACCAAAGAUUUAUCGCCUUUGGAUGGGCCCGCGUUGGAUUAGCUAGUUGGUAGGGUAAAAGCCUACCAAGGCGACGAUCCAUAGCUGGUCUGAGAGGAUGAUCAGCCACACUGGGACUGAGACACGGCCCAGACUCCUACGGGAGGCAGCAGUGGGGAAUAUUGGACAAUGGGCGAAAGCCUGAUCCAGCAAUGCCGCGUGAGUGAUGAAGGCCUUAGGGUUGUAAAGCUCUUUUACCCGGGAUGAUAAUGACAGUACCGGGAGAAUAAGCACCGGCUAACUCCGU
rnacentral:rRNA from 1 species